GGUGGCUGAGGAUUGUGAUACAUUGACUGUUCAACUGCCCAAAUAAUUAAGUUUAAAAUGUUACUAUCAUCAACUUCUUAUAAAAAACAAAUAUCUGGCGGCUGAGCAUUAAAAAACAAAUCUUUUGUCAUCUUCAUUGCCAAAAAAAAACAAACCAUACAAUUGAGACAGAGAUAUGGAAGCAAAGCUAACAAGACUGGGAAGCUCACUCCUUGUACCCACUGUUCAAGAACUGGCCAAAGAAUCACUCACCACGGUCCCACCGCGGUAUGUUCACCAUGAUCAUCAGAACCAUCCAAUCUCAUCGUAUGGUGCUCGUUGUCCCGAUGAUGUUCCGAUCAUCGACAUGGACAAGUUGAUUUCUGGAGAUCACAUGGAUUUAGAAUUGAAGAAGCUUAACUAUGCAUCCAAAGAGUGGGGUUUCUUCCAGCAAAUCAAUCAAAGAGGACCCUCUACUAAUUCUUCUUCUUAGCAUUCCCUCUUAGAAUUCCAAUAUGUUGCAAGUAAGAUACAGUUUUCAGUCUUCAUUUCCAAGCUAGCCAUCCCAACAAACUAAACUUUUGCUUUUGAAUCAAGAUUUUGGGUCUUGCAAGCUUGCGUCGAUUUGAAGGCUUGGGAGCUCUCUGCGAGAUUUUCAAUGCCAUUUCAAUGAAGCCCUUGAGAAGAAGAUGCAUUGAGUUGUUCUGCUCUGUAGGUAGAUAUGACGGCAAUUUACAAUAUGUUCAUUGAAUAGUUGAAUGCUACAAACAAUACUUAUAGCACUAGCCUUAUAAAAUAGAAAUGAUACUUUUGAAAUCAGUUAGUUUA